UUCAUAGCUUACGGUGAUCAAGGACAAGUACACGGGAAUGCACAAAGGAUGUGCGUUCUUGACGUACUGUGCGAAGGAGUCAGCCUUGAAGGCCCAGAAUGCACUACACGAGCAGAAGACAUUGCCGGGGAUGAACCGCCCCAUUCAAGUGAAGCCAGCGGACAGUGAGGGCAGAGGAGACAGGAAGCUGUUUGUCGGGAUGUUGGGGAAACAGCUGUCAGACACCGAUGUCAGAAAAAUGUUUGAGCCGUUCGGGAGUAUAGAGGAGUGCACAGUACUCCGAGGGCCUGACGGAGCCAGCAAAGGUUGUGCAUUUGUAAAAUACCAGAGUAAUGCAGAAGCGCAGGCGGCCAUUAGCACUCUCCACGGCAGCCGCACUCUCCCGGGUGCAUCUUCUAGUCUGGUGGUGAAGUUUGCAGACACAGAGAAGGAGAGAGGAAUCAGGCGUAUGCAGCAGGUGGCCUCCCAGCUGGGUGUCAUUAGUCCCAUGAGCCUACACCUGGGCGCCUACAACGCCUACACACAGGCACUCGUCCAACAGCAGGCCUUGGUGGCUCAGUCCGCAUAUCUGUCUCCCGUUGCGACGGUUGCUGCAGUGCAGAUGCAGCAGUUGGCUGCUCUCAAUCCCAGCAGCAUCAUAGCCACACCCAUCGCCUCAAUCACACCCUCCUCAGGUACGAACACUCCUCCAACCAUUGCUGCUACAUCUGUGCCUGCUCUGCCUCCGCAAAUCGCAGUCAGCAGUUACCCUCCAGUCCCUGCACUAACCAAUGGCCAUUCUGCCUCUGAAACCCUCUACACCAAUGGUGUCCAUCCGUAUCAGGCUCAGAGUCCUGUAUUGGAUCCUCUCCAGCAGGCGUAUACAGGCAUGCAACACUACACGGCUACGUAUCCUGCUGCUUAUGGAUUGGUCGGUCAACCAUUUCCACAUCAGCACACUUUGGUCGCCCAACAGCCACAGCAGCUGCAGCAGCUGCAACAACGAGAAGGCCCAGAAGGCUGCAAUAUCUUUAUUUAUCAUCUUCCUCAGGAGUUCACUGACUCUGAGAUGCUGCAGAUGUUUCUGCCCUUCGGUAACGUCAUCUCAGCCAAGGUGUUCGUUGACCGCGCCACCAACCAGAGCAAAUGCUUUGGUUUCGUAAGCUUCGACAACCCGGCGAGCGCUCAGGCUGCCAUCCAGGCCAUGAACGGCUUUCAGAUCGGCAUGAAGAGGCUUAAAGUUCAGCUGAAGAGGCCUAAAGAUGCCAACCGCCCAUACUGAGCCGAACAGGCUGCCCCGUCCAAUCAUAACUCGUGCGGAGACCACGUCGGUAUGGCUACGGUGGCCUAGCAUCCAAUAAAGCUCCCCCUUCCUCCCACAGCGUUGGUUUGGAAGAAAGGAGAGGACUAUCGGAGUCAAUUACAAGUCACUUUUCCUCCACUGCAAAUUACGGGACCAACAACUUUCACAAAACUACAGUAUAAAACCUACCGAGAUUAUUUAAACAAACAUAUACAUUUAAUAACAAAGACUGACUUGUCGCACAAAGUGCAGGUUAAAUAGAAUGAUUUGCUACCUUAACAGUAUACGAUAUAGGGCCAAUCAGCAACGCAACACCACUCGCUCUUCUGCUUCACACGCUGUUGUGCCGUGUGCUUGUGGGUCAUGACCUUUCUGCCUUCGGCCCACACAUCUAUGCCCUGCACACACACACACACACACACACACACAAAUGGGACCAAUGCAAAUAUGUCAGUACUACACUAGUUUCACUUCUGGGUUCAAAGGAACUAUGAACUAUUAAAGUCUUUCUGCAGCAAUCUAAAAUAUGUAUAUAGAAAUUUGAAGGGGACUAUGUGUAGUCAUAUCGAAACGGUUGGGAGGGUGGGACUGGGUCAGUGUGAUCAGAGCAAAGAAUCAUGGGAGGUAUAUGGUAGAUAGAGAAAGAAUGUCCUUUUGGGAGUUUUGAAGGAUUUGCUCUUGGUCUCUAAUCGGAGUCCAGUUAUACAUAGUUCUUCAUCUUUAAUACUUAAGGAAACAAAUGACCUGAGGUAUAGGAUGCUGGUCCUAUAUUGCGAACCUCCCUAUAGUGACUGAAUAUAGUUUAUCACAGAGAGGCUGUUGUUAGAGUUUUUUAUUUUUAGGUUUGUUAGUUUUUCUUUCUUUUUUUUUUUUUUAUUUGUGAAUGAUUCGAGAAGAUUCAUGAAAAUGUAUUUCACUGUAUAUAUCAUGCUUUUAAAAUGAAGGUCAAGAUUUAAAUGUUUGGGAUAUUAUUAUUAUUAUUAU